GGAGGAGGAACUAGCUGGGGAAAGGCUGGGUGGCUGUCACUGGCUGGAACCUGCAGACCAGGGCUGUGCAGAAGACCACCCAUCCACUUCUCCUGAGCCUCCUCCUGAGGAGGAGACAAGGGAACCAUGCCACUGUGAGGCCAAGGAGCUGGGGUCCAAUAUGUGCAAGGAACCUUUCAGAAGAAAGCAGGAAGGAAGAGAGAGUGGCCUGAAUCUUGGAUGACCACACUUUCAAGCCUCUGUAAGGAAGUGCCCUCUUCGCUUCCGGGAGAGCCGCGCGUAUACUCAGAAUGAAGCCUGGAGAAGUGAGUGUACCCACGCUCAGGGCAACAUUCCUCACCCCCGGCUGAGCCCUGUCCCAGCCCCCCACCUGCAGUAUCGGCCAGGCCGGUUAGGUCACAGUGGAGUGGCUCAGACCUGUUGGCCCUGCACCCUGGCAGCUCGCCAGCACCUCCCCA
rnacentral:lncRNA from 1 species